AUAGUGGAAUUUGGGGACUCAGAUCAGAUCUCAUUGGUAUUGGCUUAUCUAGAAUAUCCCUAUCAUUUGCAAAUGGGAGGUGGGAGAGAAACUUUGAUGGGGCUGACUUGCGAGGGCAACUUUAACAUUGGGUGAGAUUAGUUGGGGUUGGAUCGGAUCAAAAUCCAAGGUGCUUAUGCUAUUGUGAGAGAUUAUCUAAGGAUGCUGUGGUCGAGAACCUUACUCAAACUUUCUCGUGAGUUAGUUUAGUUAAUAAGAGUAGUGCUCUCAAUAGGGCUAUCUGACUAGAAUUGUAGCACUAAGUUAGAUCAGUGCGAGGACCAGUGAGACUAUAAUACACAGUACACAUACUUUUGUGAGGGAUGCACUAUAGCUGACCCAAUCAGCCAUUCGUACUGAAAUUUUCUUCGUUAAAUCAACAUGCGGUUAAUGUAAGAGACUUUGUCCCAACUAUCAAUCUGAGGUGCAUCUUCGAAAUCAUCAAAAUCCUCAUUGACACUCCAAACAUAUAACUAUAAACCAACUGGAGUCAUUGCAACUUUUGUUAACAGAUACUUGCCAAUUAUUUUAUUCUUGAUGUCAAAAUAGAAUAUUGAUGCAAACUGAACUGCUUAUUUUAUCACAUCGAUUCACCUAUCUCUUGAUUUUCCAUUAUUUUAUGAGUCUGAUUUCUGUGUUUUGGGAAUUUUCAAGUAAAAAUGUUUGCUAAAUUGCUGCAUUUGAGAAUGCGAUUGUAUUGCUGCAGCCUUUUGAGUGAAUUUUGCUGUGGGUAUUAUACAUAGUUGUUGUCGAUUAUAGUUUGAAAACUCGAAACAGAGAGCGGACAUUUUCUAGUAAUGCCCAAAGCUCAAAGCCCAAAUCUCUUUUUCCUCCUAUUCCCAAUCCCCUUCCUUCAUCCAACUACCCCUCAGCCACCUCUCUCUUUCCACCACCCAAUUCUUAAUUUCUAAUUUUUUUUUUUUUGAUAAUGUACUAAAUUAGUUGCAGUUGCAUCAUUGCAUUAUUACACUAUACCACUGAAUCUACUUAGAAGAUAUGUAGGCCACUCUCUGAAAUGCAAGAUAGAUGAACUCAGUCAAAACUUAAAAGAUUGGACCCCUAGCAUGAUCUAUCUGACAUCCUCAGCGGUACCAAUUUAAUCGAUAAAUUGAUGACGCCACCAAUAUAUUUACACCUUCAACUGAUGCAAUAUUAAACGUUCACUUUGUGAGAGAUGAGGAUAGUUAAGCACACCGACUUCCAGAGGCUGUUGAUAUUUGUAAAAUUCAAAGAACUAAACCUAAUAGAAGGAGAAGCUUUACUUUGAAAAUAAGGAUCUAUUAUGGUAGGGAAGAUAUAAUAUUUUGACAUAUUAAAAAUCACAUAAUCAGUAGUUCACGUGAAACUUAAUGAGGAGUUCAUGCAUAACACGACUUUAGGAACAGCUAGGACCAAUUUUAAUGCAAGAGAACAUUUCAUACUUAAUGAAUCAGUGACCUAAAUUUUUCUCGAGCACUCAAUCUACUUGGUGCGAUGGCAAGUGCCUUCGUCCAUGAGCGGUAGGUCUCGGGUUCGAGACUUGGGAGCAGCCUCUCCAUAAAUGGGGGUAAGGCUAGCCGACAUUCACCUCUCCCAGACCCUGCGUAAAGCGGGAGCCUUGUGCACUGGGUACGACUCAAUCUAUGCGUAAGAUACUACAAAUAAGAGCAAAGUUCAAAACAAAUGCAGGGCAACAAUGUGCAUUCUAUUCCACAUAUUAAUUCCUAAAAAUGAAAAUCUGUCAUAAAAUCAGAACGGUGUUUGAUCUCGUCUUCCCAAAUCUAACAGACACAAUCAAUCUCAACGAAAUAAUAAACCACAUGAUUGACAUUCUCUCUUUCGAAAUAGCUAAUUCAGUUGAGUUCUUAUACUAAAAAAAUGUAGGGAAAGGAUGGUUACAAAAAGCAUAUACAUAACACAUAUUAUAAGACAUUGAUACUAAGUAUCAUCUGCUGUAGUCAAUUUGGUAAAAACUUGACAAAAUUCAGUAUCUACAUGCAUUUAAUCAGAGACAGCUGGGGUAGUCUCCAUCUUCAUUACAAUUUUACUACUGGUUGACCAUUGGGAAUAUCGGAGAAGGUUUGCUGGCAUGAAAAACCUCUAACCAUACAAACAGUAUCUUCUUUAUUGAAAAGCUUUGGAAAAAAAAGUGAAGAAUAUUUUAUCCCAAUUACAAUUGGAAUGAUCAGCUUUAUCUUUUUCAUGUUUUUUUUUUAAGAACCAAAAGAAAAACAAUAAGGUUUAGGUUAAAUCAACAUGCCGGUUAAUGUAAUAGACUUUGUCCCAUCAAUCAAUCUGAGGUGCAUCUUCUAAAUCAUCAAAAUCCUCACUGACACUCAAACAUAUAAGCGAACAGGAGCCAUUGCAACUUUUGUUAACAUAUACUUCCGAAUUCGCCAUUUUGACUGUAUAUUGAUUCUUGAUGUCAACUUAAUAGAAUAUUGAUGCAAACUGAACUGCUUAUUUUAUCGCAUUGAUUCACCUAUUUCUUGGUUUUUCAAUUAUUUGGAGAUGACUAUUAAUUUGUGGUUUUGUGGGAAUUACUCAAGUAAAAUGUGCAUUGUCUAAUUAUUGCAUUUGAGAAUGCGAUUGUAUUGCUGCAGCCUUUUGAUUGAAUUUUGCUGUAGAUAUUAUUCAUAACUGUUGUCGAUUGUAGUUUGAAAACCCGAUACAGAGAGUGGACAUUUUUCAAGUAAUGCCCAAAGCCCAAAUCUAUUUUUCCUCCUAUUCCCAAUUCCCUUUUUCCUUCCACCCACAACCUACCAACUCUCCACGGAUCCACCACCUGCUCCACCUCUCUCCUGUCCACCACCAACGAAUUUCUUAAUUUCUAUUUUUCAUUUUUGAUAAUGUCCUAAUUUUUAAAUUUAACUAAGCUUACAAAUCUUAGCCCAAAUUAAUAAUACAGGAUGCUAUUCAAAUAGAUGUAUAAUGGAUGAAAUUUUUUGAAUUUCUAAUAGAUUAUAGUUAUUGCUAUGCUUAUUAGAUUGUAAUUUAUGAUUUUUUACUAUUUGAUAUGUAUGUAUGUAUGUAUGUAUGUAUGUUCGUUCAUUAACUGAUAUGAUUUUUUGUUUUAAUAAUUGAUAUGUGUAGAAAUUAGAAGUUUGGAACGAUAUUAACACGUGAAAACAUUAUCGAUUAGUUUGGUCAAUAUUAUUUCUCAUUUUAACUCCAAUUUUGGAUGGUUCUGAUCCGAUUUUGGAUACUUCAAG
rnacentral:lncRNA from 1 species